rnacentral:rRNA from 1 species
UACGUAGGGGGCAAGCGUUAUCCGGAAUUAUUGGGCGUAAAGAGUGCGUAGGUGGUUACCUAAGCGCAAGGUUUAAUCUUGAGGCUCAACCUCAUUCUGCCUUGCGAACUGGGCAACUUGAGUGCAGGAGAGGAAAGCGGAAUUCCUAGUGUAGCGGUGAAAUGCGUAGAUAUUAGGAGGAACACCAGUGGCGAAGGCGGCUUUCCGGACUGUAACUGACACUGAGGCACGAAAGCGUGGGGAGCAAACAGGAUUAGAUACCCUGGUAGUCCCU